CACAAUGCUCCUUUCCUCUCCGGUUACACUGGAUUCAUCGCACAUCUGUACUUUAAAUACAGUUAAACAAGUAAGCGCUUGGCAGAUCAGUCAAAAGUCAUCUUACCUUGUCAUCGACGUCCAGAUUUCAUGACGACUCUGCGUCCUCUGACGGACUUUUAUGUGGUCGACACACUGACACAAGCCAGGGCCAAAUUUCCCCACAUCGCCCAGAGGAGAAAAGUCCAGAGGAACUUCGCUUUCGAGCCAGACGACUACAUUAACCAAGCACAGAUGCUUUGGUCACUUUGGGUUCACUGCUACUAUACGCUGCUACAUAAAAACAACAACACUGGACAACAUCAUCAACCCUAAUGUUAUUUGAGAUUCUCAAGGAGAAGUGACAAUUUUCUCAAGAGACAAAAGAGGAGGAAGAGAACAAUCAACUGAAGAAUACAGUAACCCUAGAAAAUGUUUAGGGCAUUGAUUUUUCUACUGUGCAUUGAGAAGCAAGAGAUUAUAAGAAGGACGUGCACGUUGACAUCUUUGUCAACAGGAGGGAGAGGAGUUCAU